UACGUAGGGCGCAAGCGUUAUCCGGAAUUAUUGGGCGUAAAGAGCUCGUAGGCGGUUUGUCGCGUCGGGAGUGAAAACCUUGGGCUUAACUCAGGGCUUGCUUUCGAUACGGGCAGAUUGGAGUACUGCAGGGGAGACUGGAAUUCCUGGUGUAGCGGUGGAAUGCGCAGAUAUCGGGAGGAACACCAGUGGCGAGGGCGAGUCUCUGGGAUGAUGCUGACGCUGAGGCGCGAAAGCCAGGGGAGCAAACGGG
rnacentral:rRNA from 1 species